UCAAUGAAAUUUUAUCUGUUAUUUUACAUCUACUUUCACAAUAAUACUAAGAAGCAACAAUAAAACUUACAACUUCGUUAUACUUUAUUCAAGCGUGUUCGAUGUCCAUUUUCCCAAGCAAUUUCCGGUUUUUAGUCAAGUGACAAUCUAUCAAGUUUAGAGCACAUACAUAUGUGUGCGCAUCGUGUAAUCAGAUACAGUAGGGAGGAAAAUUAAUUAUAAUUCUUUGAAGACAAAUAUCAAACAGUUAAUUCGACCAAAGGUAAUUUAUUAUUUGAUUAAUUUGAACCUACGAACCCGAACUCGAACCCGUCCCCGUACCGUUUUAUUGAAUCUGUAUAUAUGGAUGUACAUAUGUAAGUACAUACAAUCGGCCAAGAAUUUAUCAUUACAAUAUUUGAUGUGAUUAACUUUCAAGUAUCUCGUUAUCGGCAGCAACGGUAGCUAUUACCGAACCGAAGGAUAAUAAACCGUAGCGGAGACGAU